AGCUAGCUCCAAUUUUCAUGCUUUUGUGCACCUUUUCAUAUAAUCUUUUGUGCUCUUUCACUCUCUCACUUUAAAACCCUUGAAAAGUCUUAUUUCCAUACUUUCUCUCACUAGCUAGGUGUUUUAGAGAGAGAAAAAGGGAGCUUCUAUAAUAGCUUGAAAAUUUUUAGAAAGAAAUUCAAUUACAAAGCUACCGAAAUGAGUAGUGAAUUAGAGUUGAUUUUUAAAUGUUGAGAAUGGCUAGUGAUCAGACUUGUGAGUGUUUUGUAGUUGAGGUUGUUUAUUCAUUUUAGAGUGAUUAGGAUAGUGAAAAUAGAUAGCCACUUAAUGGCAAUUGGAAGCUAAUUAAGAGAUAGCUUUUAGAAUUUAUAGUUAUGUGAAUUGAGUUAAUUGUGAUGCUAAUGUGAUGAUAGGUUCCAACGAAGCCCCACCGCCCCAUUUGGACCAUUAGAGGAAGUUGGA
rnacentral:lncRNA from 1 species